CCUACGGGAGGCAGCAGUGGGGAAUAUUGGGCAAUGGGCGCAAGCCUGACCCAGCAACGCCGCGUGAAGGAAGAAGGCUUUCGGGUUGUAAACUUCUUUUGUCAGGGACGAAGCAAGUGACGGUACUUGCCGAAUAAGCCACGGCUAACUACGUGCCAGCAGCCGCGGUCAUACGUAGGUGGCAAGCGUUAUCCGGAUUUACUGGGUGUAAAGGGCGUGUAGGCGGGGAAGCAAGUCAGAUGUGAAAACCACGGGCUCAACCUGUGGCCUGCAUUUGAAACUGGUUUUCUUGAGUGCUGGAGAGGCAAUCGGAAUUCCGUGUGUAGCGGUGAAAUGCGUAGAUAUACGGAGGAACACCAGUGGCGAAGGCGGAUUGCUGGACAGUAACUGACGCUGAGGCGCGAAAGCGUGGGGAGCAAACAGGAUUAGAUACCCCGGUAGUC
rnacentral:rRNA from 1 species